rnacentral:rRNA from 1 species
GAUGAACGCUGGCGGCGUGCCUAAUACAUGCAAGUCGAGCGAAUGGAUUAAGAGCUUGCUCUUAUGAAGUUAGCGGCGGACGGGUGAGUAACACGUGGGUAACCUGCCCAUAAGACUGGGAUAACUCCGGGGAACCGGGGCUAAUACCGGAUAACAUUUUGAACCGCAUGGUUCGAAAUUGAAAGGCGGCUUCGGCUGUCACUUAUGGAUGGACACGCGUCGCAUUAGCUAGUUGGUGAGGUAACGGCUCACCAAGGCAACGAUGCGUAGCCGACCUGAGAGGGUGAUCGGCCACACUGGGACUGAGACACGGCCCAGACUCCUACGGGAGGCAGCAGUAGGGAAUCUUCCGCAAUGGACGAAAGUCUGACGGAGCAACGCCGCGUGAGUGAUGAAGGCUUUCGGGUCGUAAAACUCUGUUGUUAGGGAAGAACAAGUGCUAGUUGAAUAAGCUGGCACCUUGACGGUACCUAACCAGAAAGCCACGGCUAACUACGUGCCAGCCGCCGCGGUAA